rnacentral:rRNA from 1 species
UACGUAGGAUGCAAGCGUUGUCCGGAAUUAUUGGGCGUAAAGAGCGCGCAGGCGGUCUAUCAAGUCAGAUGUGAAAUAUCCAGGCUUAACCUGGAGGGGUCAUUUGAAACUGGUAGACUAGAGUACAGCAGAGGGAUAGUGGAAUUCCCGGUGUAGUGGUGAAAUGCGUAGAUAUCGGGAGGAACACCGAUGGCGAAGGCAGGUCUCUGGGCCGAUACUGACACUGAGGCACGAAAGCGUGGGGAGCAAACA